rnacentral:rRNA from 1 species
UUGAUUUUUAAUAGAAUUUAUUUAUUAAUUUUUAUUUUUUAUUUUAUAAUUUAUUAAAAAUAAUUAUAUAAUUUUAUGUUUUAGUAAUUUUUAAUGAAAAAAUAAUUUUUAUAAUAGUUAAAUAUGUAUUGUGAAAGAAUAUUGAAAUAAUUUGAAAAAUUUUUAUUAAAAAAGAAAAUUUAAAUUAUUGUACCUUGUGUAUCAGGGUUUAUUAAAAAAUUAAUAAUUAUUUAUUAAUCUCGAUUUUAUAAGAGUUAAUAAUUUAUUAAAGUUAAUGUAUCAAAAUCAUUUUCAAUAAAUUAUUAGAAAUGAAAUGUUAUUCGUUUAUAAAGGUAUCUAGUUUUUUUAGAAAUAAAUUUAAUUUACAAUAUUUUAAUUUUUUAUUUAUUUAUUUAAAUAAAAAAUUUAUUAAAUUGAAUAUUUAAAGGGAUAAGCUUUUAAAUAAAUUAUUAAAAAUUAAUAAUUAUAAAAAAAAAUUGUAUGCUUAGAAUUAGCAAUCGUUUAUAAGUUUGUUAUAAAUUAUUUUAUUUAAUUAUAUUAUUUAUUAGUUUUUUAAAUUUAUAUAAAAAAAAUUUUUUUAAUAUUAUUAUAAAAAGUAAUAAUGAUAAAAUUAGUAUAUUUUUAUUGUUUAUAUAAUUUAAUUAUGAUAAGUUUAUAUAAAGAAUUCGGCAAAUUUUUUACUCGCCUGUUUAACAAAAACAUGUCUUUUUGAGUUAUUUUUAAAGUCUAACCUGCCCACUGAGUUUAUUUAAAUGGCCGCAGUAUUUUAACUGUGCAAAGGUAGCAUAAUCAUUAGUCUUUUAAUUGAAGGCUGGAAUAAACGGUUGGACGAAGUAUAAACUGUUUCAUAUAAAUUUAUAAUAGAAUUUUAUUUUUUAGUUAAAAAGCUAAAAUUUUAUUAAAAGACGAGAAGACCCUAUAAAUCUUUAUAUUUUAUAUUAAUUAAAUUUUAUUGAUAUAUUUUAUUUUUAUAUUAUAACAUAUUUUGUUGGGGAGAUAUUAAAAUUUUAUUAACUUUUAUUUUUAUUUAAUCAUUAAUAUAUGAAUAAUUGAUCCGUUAAUAACGAUUAAAAGAUUAAGUUACUUUAGGGAUAACAGCGUAAUUUUUUUGGAGAGUUCAUAUUGAUAAAAAAGUUUGCGACCUCGAUGUUGGAUUAAGAGAUAUUUUUAGGUGUAGUUGCUUAAAUAUAAAGUCUGUUCGACUUUU